rnacentral:rRNA from 1 species
CUACGGGGGGCUCCAGUGGGGAAUAUUGCACAAUGGGCGCAAGCCUGAUGCAGCCAUGCCGCGUGUAUGAAGAAGGCCUUCGGGUUGUAAAGUACUUUCAGCGGGGAGGAAGGGAGUAAAGUUAAUACCUUUGCUCAUUGACGUUACCCGCAGAAGAAGCACCGGCUAACUCCGUGCCAGCAGCCGCGGUAAUACGGAGGGUGCAAGCGUUAAUCGGAAUACUGGGCGUAAAGCGCACGCAGGCGGUUUGUUAAGUCAGAUGUGAAAUCCCCGGGCUCAACCUGGGAACUGCAUCUGAUACUGGCAAGCUUGAGUCUCGUAGAGGGGGGAGAAUUCCAGGUGUAGCGGUGAAAUGCGUAGAGAUCUGGAGGAAUACCGGUGGCGAAGGCGGCCCCCUGGACGAAGACUGACGCUCAGGUGCGAAAGCGUGGGGAGCAAACAGGAUUAGAUACCCCCGUAGUC